UUUAUGGAGAGUUUGAUCCUGGCUCAGGAUGAACGCUGGCGGCGUGCCUAAUACAUGCAAGUCGCGCGAACUGACGACGAGCUUGCUCCUUUGACGUUAGCCGCGGACGGGUCAGUAACACGUGGGUACCCUACCUAUCAGACUGGAAUAACUCCGGGCAACCUGGUCUAAUGCCGGAGAACAUAUCGAACC
rnacentral:rRNA from 1 species